UACGUAGGGGGCAAGCGUUGUCCGGAUUUACUGGGCGUAAAGAGCGUGUAGGCGGCCACGCAGGUCCGUUGUGAAAACUGGAGGCUCAACCUCCAGCUGUCGACGGAAACCGUGUGGCUAGAGUCCGGAAGAGGAGAGUGGAAUUCCUGGUGUAGCGGUGAAAUGCGCAGAUAUCGUAAGGAAGACCAGUGGCGAAGGCGGGUCUCUGGACAGUUCCUGACGCUGAGGCACGAAGGUCAGGGGAGCAAACGGG
rnacentral:rRNA from 1 species